AUUGAACGCUGGCGGAAUGCUUUACACAUGCAAGUCGAGCGGCAGCGCGGGGCAACCUGGCGGCGAGCGGCGAACGGGUGAGUAACAUAUCGGAACGUAUCCUUAAGUGGGGGACAACCUAGCGAAAGUUAGGCUAAUACCGCAUACGCAGGGAACUGGAAAGUGGGGGACCGCAAGGCCUCACGCUUUUGGAGCGGCCGAUAUCAGAUUAGCUUGUUGGUGAGGUAAAGGCUCACCAAGGCGACGAUCUGUAGCUGGUCUGAGAGGAUGAUCAGCCACACUGGGACUGAGACACGGCCCAGACUCCUACGGGAGGCAGCAGUGGGGAAUUUUGGACAAUGGGGGCAACCCUGAUCCAGCCAUUCCGCGUGAGUGAAGAAGGCC
rnacentral:rRNA from 1 species